AGCGAACGUUAGCGGCGCGCCUAACACAUGCAAGUCGCACGAGAAAGGGCUUCGGCCCCGGUAAAGUGGCGCACGGGUGAGUAACACGUGGGCAACCUGCCCAACCCUGGGGGAUAACCUGCCGAAAGGCGGGCUAAUACCGCGUACGAGGGCUUCACUUCGGUGGAGUUCUGAAAGCAGGCCUCUGUAUACAAGCUUGCGGGGUUGGAUGGGCCCGCGGUCCAUCAGCUAGUUGGUGAGGUAACGGCUCACCAAGGCUACGACGGAUAGCUGGUCUGAGAGGAUGAUCAGCCACACUGGAACUGAGACACGGUCCAGACUCCUACGGGAGGCAGCAGUGGGGAAUCUUGCGCAAUGGACGAAAGUCUGACGCAGCGACGCCGCGUGGGUGACGAAGGCCUUCGGGUUGUAAAGCCCUGUGGGGUGAGACGAACAGCUGGGAUUCGAAUAGGGCCUCGGUCUGACGGUAUCACCUUAGCAAGCACCGGCUAACUCUGUGCCAGCCGCCGCCGUAAAAC
rnacentral:rRNA from 1 species